rnacentral:lncRNA from 1 species
AAUUCCCUAUCGUGGCAGUGGUGAAUAGUGGUGCGAUAAACAUGGGCAUGUAGAUAUCUCUUUGAUAUCCUGGUUUCUUUCUAUUUGAAAAUCAGUCGUAGACAUCAUGCACUUAAACUAUUAAAACUUCAGCACGCAUCUCAUAAGAGUAAGAAUAGUUAGAUAUUCCUUAUCUUCUUUUCCCCCCCUUUAAAUGACAUUACCUUUUUGAAGAGACCAUGCCAGUUGUUUUAUAGACUAUCACACAUUCUUUAUUUGUCUAAUUUGUUUCCUUAUGUUAUUUAACUCAUUCCACUAAUUCUUGUAUUUCUGGUAAGCGGAAGUUAGGUGUAAAGGUUGAUUAGACUCGUUUUUGGUAAGCAGACCUCACAGUGAUACACAGUGUUGUAUUUCAUAUUGCAUCAUCAGGAAGCUCACAAUAUCAGGUUGUUGCUCUUGUGGUGCCGAGUUGGAUUGCUUAAAGGUGGGGACCUCCAGAUCUUCCACGGGAAAGGUACGUUUUUCUUGUUGAUAUUGUGAAGUGUGUAUGGGGUUGUACUUUGGCACCUUGUAGUGAGUCAGUUUCCCCCCAUUGGUGAUCAU